rnacentral:tRNA from 1 species
CGGGGCGUGGCGCAGCCCGGCAGCGCGCCUGAAUGGGGUUCAGGAGGUCCCGGGUUCAAAUCCCGGCGCCCCGA